rnacentral:misc_RNA from 1 species
UCAAACUUGGUCAUUUAGAGGAAGUAAAAGUCGUAACAAGGUUUCCGUAGGUGAACCUGCGGAAGGAUCAUUAAUGAAUAAACCUGGUCAAGUUGUUGCUGGUCUUCUCUUUCGAGGACAUGUGCACACUGUGACUCUUGUUUUUUUCAACCACCUGUGCACCUUUUGUAGACCUUGGAGUCUUAUGAAAUCCUUUUUUUGGUUUUGUAUUGGGGUUGUUGCGAUUUAGCUCUCCCUGUUUCUCCAUUGUCUAUGUCCCUUUACAUACCCUUCAUAUGCAAAGAAUGUAUUUUUGGGCUUUUUUUGAAGCCUAUAAAAUUUUAUACAACUUUCAACAACGGAUCUCUUGGCUCUCGCAUCGAUGAAGAACGCAGC